UGAAAACUAGGACUCAGCCACUCCUUUGAUCUGUCUUCAUUUUUCCCUUUUCAGCUACCCUAUAGUUGGCUGCCUGGCUUCAGAGCUUUUUUUGAACUUGGAAGACUUCAAGCCCCAACUGAGGAAUCCUUGAUGCUCUGUUGUUUUGUCUUGCUAAAAUGUACAAGAAACUUGCACAGCUCUGUCCUUCAGGCUUAAAAUCAUCCCAGGGAGGUCACUCUAAGUUCCUUUUAAUGUGUGCUGAAGAAAGGGCAGCACAGCUGAAGCCUGAUUUAAAAUCUGAUCUUCUCCCUAAUGUCACAAGGACAUCCUGAGACAAUGGCUGAGGAGCUAUGCACCAGUACCCAGCUGGAUCCCUGAUACUUACAUUGGCAGAUGCAUUAUCAACAGAGACAUCGAUUUAGAGUGAAUUAAGUAAGCAAUUUCCAUUUUCAAGCCUACAAUUCCAUUUUAGCACCAGGAGAUAUUAACCGGUAUUGUUAUAGGUAAAAUCUGAUUGUGUUAAGGAGGGUGCCUGGACAAUCAGAGGGAGUCAGAAUAGGAAAUUAGAGUUUCGAGUUUUGUUCCCUUGUCUAGUAUGCUGGGUCACCUUGAGAAACUUCCAUCAUGACUGGGUCUCAGUUUCUAAAAAUCAAAUUUUACUUGCUGUGUUCCCGAAAGAGAAUUUUUGGAUAACUGACUUGCUAUGUAUAACUCUCUCAAGGUAAGUAUAUGCAAGGAAUUGCUGUAGGUGCAGGAUUUUGCAAAUUGCUGAAAUGAAAC
ensembl:lincRNA